rnacentral:snoRNA from 1 species
UUUUUGUGAUGAAAAUAAUUUUAGUCCGUGUUUUUGAUAGUUAAUGAUACAACAGAAUUUCUGAUUAA